GGGACCGGGGCCACCACUGCGGACUCUGCUCGUGUGUGCCCGCCAUAUGACCAAACUCUGAAUGUUAGUGAUGUCUGAGUACUAUCUAAUAGUUAAAACUUUCAACAACGGAUCUCUUGGUUCUGGCAUCGAUGAAGAACGCAGCGAAAUGCGAUAAGUAAUGUGAAUUGCAGAAUUCAGUGAAUCAUCGAAUCUUUGAACGCACAUUGCGCCCUGUGGUAUUCCGCAGGGCAUGCCUGUUCGAGCGUCAUUUAACCACUCACGCCUAGCGUGGUAUUGGGGCACGCGGUCUCCGCGGCCCUCAAAAUUAGUGGCGGUGCCGGUGGGCUCUGAGCGUAGUACAUACUCCCGCUAUAGAGUCCCCCCCGGUGGCUUGCCAGAACCCCCAAUUUUUACAGGUUGACCUCGGAUCAGGUAGGGAUACCCGCUGAACUUAAGCAUAUCAAUAAGCGG
rnacentral:rRNA from 1 species